UCUCUCAAUUUGUGUUUAACUCGUUUAUGAUGAAUUAGAUUUCUUGAUUCUAAUUUUUUCUAGCCCUAGUUCUUGAUAUCCGUUGCUCCGAUUUCGAUUUCUUCUACUCGUUCUUGAUAUCCUUUGCUCCGCUUGCUUGCUUCUUGAUGGCUCGAUUUCAGGGUUUUCUAUUAAAGGAGAUCCUUAUGGAUUUGCGUACUGAUAUGUUUCUUCUCAGAUUGUUGAUAUCAAGAAUUUCACAAUUCUCCUGUCUCUUCUUGAUUUUGUUCAUCUUCGGUGUUGCAGGAGAGGUAAUCUGUGAACACACGAUUCCUUCUUGGUUCUAUCUUCCUCUUGUUUGAUCUUGAUGUUUUGUAUUCUUAUUCUCUUAUCCUUUAUCAUAUAGGUUCUUGAUUUUGUUCUUGCUGGUUUCUUUCAUUGAGUUUGUUUUUCUUAUUUGCAUGAUCUGCUGCUAUUUUUGAGUUCGUUGGGAGUCUUGAUGCGAGUUUUCUGUUUUUAGACGUUUUGCAAGACAUGGUCAUCAUUCUAUCGUUGAAUUGUGUUAAGAAGAAGCCAAAAUUGUGUCAUUUCAUAUGGAGUACAUGAUCUUGCAAGUGGGAUGGAAAUUUGUUCCAAUGAUUCAUAAGCUCUUGCAGGAUGUGCCGAAUACUUUUAGCUGUUGCUAGCUUUUAAUUCGGCCAUCUUUACUCAGAAUCUUAACUCAGAAUCUUAACUCAGAAUCUUAACUCAGAAUCUUUACAUUUAAGUUUUUGAUUUUUAUUCUUACAGUGCAAAAGUUUACAUGAUUCUGGAAAAUUUGGGAGAACAUGGCGGGGGCUCUCUUUGUUCUGAUGAUAUGCAACAUGGUUUGCAGAAUUAUGCUACUCUUCUAUCUUUUUUCUUGGUUUUUUGUGCAUCUAUUUGUCACUGCAAAAUUUUCUGUAUCUGUACCAUCUGGUGUUUCAUGGCUUGAUGUGAAUGCACCUUUUAGUUCACUCUCUGAAGUAGAAAAAUUGGAGAUGAGUGCCCUUCUGCUUUGUACAAUUAAUCUUCUGGGAACGAAUUAACAAGGACACAUGAACCAUAAUGUCAUGCUGGCUGUUCAUAUAUUUCAUAGGCAACCACACUCCUCGAUUCCUUUAUGAAAGCUUAGGCGGUGAGAUUAUUAACUCCAUUCAAAUUUUGGAGAUAAUUGACCAUUUUUUAGUCAUAUAUUUCCUACUAAUGUUUAUUCAGGGUUGUUUAUCUUUGGAGCACAGUUUGGCUGGGAAGAGAUAAUAUUUCAAUGUUUUGUUAUUUGUGAUUUGUGGUUGGUAUACUCCUAAAAAGAUACCGUCUUCGUUACAGAGGCAGAAGGACUCGUCUGUAGUUGGAAGAAGCAAAAAUUGUCAUUUCAUACAAGAGUACAUCAUCUUGCAAAUUGGAUGGAAUUUUGUUCCAAUGAUUCCUCGUCUAUUUCCGGCUGUUUCGUAUACUUUCUACUGCUGCUAGACUUUAUAUUUGGUCAGCUCUACGAACCAUCUUCACAUUUCAUUCUUUGUUUGAUACUCUACUUAUACUUUUUUCAGUUCCUUUGAGAUUUCUGUGUGGAAGUUACAGUUGAGAUAGCCUAUGAUUGUGUGGUUUGCUAUGGAAACCGUGGCAUGAAGAAGUUCAGUUCGCAUACCCUUCGGUAAAAGCAGUCAUUUUUUUCUUUACAUAUCUAAUAUCUUAUUGUUUUGGGAUAUUUGUCUUUUGAUGGAGUGCUCUGCUGGUGUUGGAUUUUUUAUGUUUCUGUUUCAGCAAGAUUAUGUAGUAUUUGAAGCAUACAAGAUUCUAGAACCUUUGCCCUCCCCGAGGAUGUGGAAUUCAGGAUAACUUGGUUUGGCACUUUUUUGUAUUGUCAAUUUGCCAUUCCUUUUGUUAUCUUUUUUUUCUCUGUAUUAUUGUCAAUUGUGAUGUAUAAAAAUAAGAAUAAGAGUAACGAUAAAAAUAAUAAUACCAUUCAUCAAGUUGUACAAGAUCUUUGGUUUAGGGGUGCUGUCAAAUUUUGUAUAGGAGGACUAGAAUCUACAAUUGACUGUGUCAUAUUGUCAAAGUCGUUGUUCUUUCAUUUGGUUGUCUCUACUUUUGACUAAGUUGUUCACGUUUUUGUCUUUUGAUCAUCUUGUGUGGGUAUCACGAGGAGAAUGUAGAGUGAAAGCCAUGGCAGAGAUUGUGUCAUUUCGCCCAGUUGGUCGUUUUUAAUUUUUUAAUUUCUGGCUUUGAUCAGAAGAAAAAAGAAUAUAAUUGUGAGAAUAUUUUUCUGCAGCGCGAUUUGUCAAACUAAUAAUGUUCUACACGGAGUAUGCUUUGAUGUUUGAUUAGGUGAUCUCUAGUAAAUUCUUUUUGUUUUCCAUAAUUCUCUAUCAACCAAUUCUAAAAGCAUAUUUUGGUUGAUUUGUUGUUUCCUUUUUGGUGUCGCAGGAUAGUUAAAUCUGUGAACAUGUUAUUCCUUUUGUUUCUAUCUUGUUUUGUAUGAUCUUUCAUGUAUUGUAUUUUGAUUAUUUUCUGUUUUCUUGAUUCUGAGUUUUGAUUUGGCUCUGGAUUUCAUCACCAUACACGUGGAAUUGAAAUUUGAACUUUGUUUUUGCAGUAUAGUUUGUUUCGACACAUUAACAUUCUGUGUAGAGUACCAAGCCUCAGUUUUAAUUUGGUACCCUAUACUAUAUUAUUAUAAAUUAUGUCCAUUUCAUUUCCUUUCGGUCAAUUCCUAUAAACCAGACCAGUUUUCUCGAUUUACUCUUUUAUGAUUUCCACUGUUUCAGGUCAGAUGAGUCUAUUGGUGUGUGGUAAGAGUUGGUUGGUAUAAUUGAAAAGUUGAGCCUUAGGGGUUUUCUUAGUUCUUAUCAUUAAUAAUUCUUUUUUCUUACAAAUGUUUGUUCUACAUUUGAGUUUUUGAUUUAUAUUCUUACAGUGCAAAAGUUUACAUGAUUCUGGAAAAUUUGGGAUAACGUGGUGGGGCUCUCUUUGUUCUGAUGAUAUGCAACCUGGUUUGCAGAAUUAUGCUACUCUUCUAUCUUUUUUCUUGGUUUUUUGUGCAUCUAUUUGUCACUGCAAAAUUGGAUGGAAAUCUGUUCCUAUGAUUCCUUGUCUAUUGCCGGCUGUUUCGUAUACUUUCUACUGCUGCUAGACUUUAUAUUGGGUCAGCUCUACGAACCGUCUUCACAUUUCAUUCUUUGUUUGAUUCUCAACUUAUACCUUUUUCAGUUCCUUUGAGGUUUUUGUGUGGAAGUAACAGUUGAGAUAGCCUAUGAUUGUGUGGUUUGCUAUGGAAAUUGUGGCAUGAAAAAGUUCAGUUCACAUACCCUUCGCAAGAUUAUGUAGUAUUUGAAGCAUACAAGAUUCUAGAACCUUAGCCCUCCCCGAGGAUGUGGAAUUCAGGAUAACUUGGUUUGGCACUUUAUUGUACUGUCGACUUGCCAUUCCUUUUGUUAUCUUUUUUUAGUAUAUUAUUGUAUAAAAAUAAGAAUAAGAGUAAGGACAAAAAUAAUAAUUGGUGUAGGGGUGCUGUCAAAUUUUGUAUAGGAGGACUAGAAUCUACCAUUGACUGUGUCAUAUUGUCAAAGUCGCUGUUCUUUCAUUUGGUUGUCUCUACUUUUGACUAAAUUGUUCACGUUUUUGUCUUUUGAUCAUAUUGUGUGGGUAUCACGAGGAGGAUAUUGAGUGAAAGCCAUGGCAGAGAUUAUCAACAUGAGAGCCUAUGAAUGUAUCAUUGGGUGAUUUAGUGAGUGAAUGUAUCAUUUGGAUUUACUUGGUGUAUGAAAAUGACAACGUUCUUCAUAGCAUCGAGCCUUCAGUUUUGAUUUUGUGAUCCCUACUAUAUGGUUUCAGUAUUUUCCGUAUUGAUUCAGAGAUAAUUUUUUUCUAAUUGUUAUUUCCCUGUUUGGUGUUGCUGGAGAAGUAAUAUUUGAGACACACAACUCCUUCUGGUUCUGGUUCUAUUACAAUUUUCCUUCUUUUUUAAA